rnacentral:rRNA from 1 species
UUUAAUUGAAGAGUUUGAUCAUGGCUCAGAUUGAACGCUGGCGGCAGGCUUAACACAUGCAAGUCGAGCGGUAACACAGGAGAGCUUGCUCUCUGGGUGACGAGCGGCGGACGGGUGAGUAAUGUCUGGGAAACUGCCUGAUGGAGGGGGAUAACUACUGGAAACGGUAGCUAAUACCG